GGGCUCUCAGCGGGGCCGAGAUCGGUGGGCAAGGGACACAGGACCAGACCCGGCAGGGAGAGGAGUCGAGGGCGGGGGGUCAGCUGUGGGCUGGGUCCGCAGAGACCGAAGGCCUGGGCCCCGGCCGAGUCUGUCCCGAGGGGGUCCGGCGCCCAGCGGGACACAGAGAGGACAGGGGGGUUAAGUCUGGAGCCUGAAGGGAGGAGGCCGCGGAGGACCGAAGGGCCGCGUGACUGGGCUGUGCCGCUGAGACUCGGCCAACCUGGCCGGGAUGGAGGGGGCGUCUGCCGAGGUCGGUGCAGGGUGAGGAAGGGACUGAGGUGGGAUUGCCUCCUGGCUUCCUGUACCUCCCAAGGGGAGUGGAGGACAUAGCGCUGGGCCCACGCAGGUCCAGGGCUGGGCCCUCCUGUUGUGGGACGUCAGUUUAUUACCAUCCCCGAAGCCGUGGGGAAGCUGCUGAGGAGUCUACCCAGUUGUGGAACCUUGGCUCUCACUCUGCCUUCUCCACAAAGCCAUCCUCAUUGCUGGAGCGCUGCACAACACCUGUUGUCCUCAUGGUCUGGCCUGGCAAGGAUGGGGAUGAGUGGUUAGUCAGGAACAGGUCUGUACACAGGCCUGCUGUGUGUGGCUGCAUAGGUUUGUACCAUCCCUCCCUGGCAGUAGGGCACACUGUUCAUAUAGACUAUGGUGGGAUGGGGUCCCCCUGAAUUAUAUAAUGAAGAGGCUAUGCGUCCUGGUCAAAUGGCCUGAGAUUGAAUCCUGACUCAACCACUCAAUGGAUGGCCAAGCAAGUGGAAGAAGCAUUUGUGGCUGGAAUCUCUAGAAAGCCCAGUGGUGGCUUCAAACAUGACUGACCCAGACCCCCAACUCCACCAUGAGGACACGAUGCCUGCCAUGUCCUGUCUGCAUCUCUGAGCCGGUUUAAUUCUCAGACCCAGUCAAAUUGCUGGACAUGCUGGAAGGAACAGCACACCUGUGCAUUGCUCAAGUGGACUGUAAGCUACUGGAGAGCAGGACUUGUAUCUUUACCACCCGACUCCUCAGGAUCCAGCAGAGUGGCUGGCACACACAGCUCAGAGGAUAUGUACGCAGCAAAUAAACAUAAUCAAAGUCGUACAGCACAUAA